GCACUACAGAGGAGUCCCAUACUAGGAUGAAACGGCCGUCCAGUGC
rfam:Schistosoma curassoni strain Dakar, Senegal genome assembly, scaffold: SCTD_contig0000463